rnacentral:rRNA from 1 species
AGAGUUUUGAUCCUGGCUCAGGAUGAACGCUGGCGGCGUGCCUAAUACAUGCAAGUCGAGCGAACGGAUAAGGAGCUUGCUCCUUUGAAGUUAGCGGCGGACGGGUGAGUAACACGUGGGUAACCUACCUAUAAGACUGGAAUAACUUCGGGAAACCGGAGCUAAUGCCGGAUAACAUUUGGAACCGCAUGGUUCUAAAGUAAAAGAUGGUUUUGCUAUCACUUAUAGAUGGACCCGCGCCGUAUUAGCUAGUUGGUAAGGUAACGGCUUACCAAGGCAACGAUACGUAGCCGACCUGAGAGGGUGAUCGGCCACACUGGAACUGAGACACGGUCCAGACUCCUACGGGAGGCAGCAGUAGGGAAUCUUCCGCAAUGGACGAAAGUCUGACGGAGCAACGCCGCGUGAGUGAUGAAGGUUUUCGGAUCGUAAAACUCUGUUAUUAGGGAAGAACAAAUGUGUAAGUAACUGUGCACAUCUUGACGGUACCUAAUCAGAAAGCCACGGCUAACUAC